rnacentral:rRNA from 1 species
CAUCCUCCAAGGCUAAAUACUCCUGACUGACCGAUAGUGAACCAGUACCGUGAGGGAAAGGCGAAAAGAACCCCGGCGAGGGGAGUGAAAAAGAACCUGAAACCGUGUACGUACAAGCAGUGGGAGCACAGGUUUACCUGUGUGACUGCGUACCUUUUGUAUAAUGGGUCAGCGACUUAUAUUCUGUAGCAAGGUUAACCGAAUAGGGGAGCCGGAGGGAAACCGAGUCUUAACUGGGCGUUAAGUUGCAGGGUAUAGACCCGAAACCCGGUGAUCUAGCCAUGGGCAGGUUGAAGGUUGGGUAACACUAACUGGAGGACCGAACCGACUAAUGUUGAAAAAUUAGCGGAUGACCUGUGGC